ensembl:lncRNA
ACGAAAUGGAGGGGCAGAUGGGAGUUUAAAAAAUGUCUCUGUGGCAGGAUCCGUGAAUGGAUUUUUCACUGCGCUUAAUACAAAAGAGAACUUCAGCAGGGGGUCGAGGAUGGUGCCCAGGAUCCAAAAUAUGCAGAUGCAACCUCAAGUGCAGAACCCAGAGACGUUUCCCAUGAUAUUAGAAGACAAUGCUGUGAAGGGACAACAUGGUAGACCGUAUACGGUCAUCAGCCAGGAGAGAGACAUCCGCGCCAGAGAAAGAAUACAGGAAGCAGCGAGAGGU